GAAGAUCGUUGAGACUUGCUCAUAUUCUAUUCUUGAUGAGGUGGACACGAAACUUGAUCACGGCACCUGGUUCUCGAACCUUUUCGAUCUUUUUAUCGUGGAGGAAUUAGGCAUUAUUUGGUGCUGAAUGUGACACAGGGGGAGAAAGAAAUCUUCAUCGAUUUUGGAAUCCAGCACGCGUUAAGGAAGGUAACAAUUCACAAGUUGGAACUCCGAAUCCCCCAGGACAGAUACUGAUGGCAACAAGCAACAGCUCAAACAAGAGCCUAAGCCACGUUGGAGCUCAUGUGAGCACGUCGUCACUGAACCAAUUACGUGGAAGUGCUUGCAGUGUCAUCCAGCAACAACAGCAAUGCACACGAACAUAAACAAUUCUUUCUUUGUAAUCGGAUGAUGAUGACGACUCAAUAAUUCACUCUUUGCAGUAUUAUAUUCUAA